rnacentral:rRNA from 1 species
GGCUCCUUGCGUUACAUCAUAUAAGGAGUCGGACCUGCCCAGUGAAAAAUUUUAACGGCCGCGGUACUCUGACCGUGCAAAGGUAGCAUAAUCACUUGCCUUAUAAUUGAAGGCUAGUAUGAAUGGUUUGACGAAAGCUUUUCUGUCUCUUCUCCGCUUUAUAGAAUUUAACUUUCAGGUGAAGAGGCCUGUUUAAAAUUGAAGGACGAGAAGACCCUGUCGAGCUUUAAGAAAACGGGGAAAAUCUUAUAUUUAUAAAUAUAAAACCCCCUUUAUCUUUUGGUUGGGGCGACUAGGGAACAACUAAAGCUUCCCUUAUUUAUCAAACCUACUUGUUAGGAUCCAGCAUUAACUGCUGAUUAAAGGAAUUAGUUACCGCAGGGAUAACAGCAUAAUCCUUCUUGAGAGACCUUAUCGAAAGAAGGGGUUGUGACCUCGAUGUUGGACUAGGAUAUCCUAAGGGUGCAGAAGCCUUCGAUGGUUGGUCUGUUCGACCAUUAAAAUCCUA